GUGUUCAGUUGGACAACACACAUGCUUACAAUGGAAGGACACAGGGAAAUCUAGCAUGACCCCUGCGUGAGGAUGGCAGGAAAUUAGUGAAGUAUUCUAUAUUUUU
ensembl:snRNA U6 U6 spliceosomal RNA